AGAGAUAUAGCUCAAUGGUAGAGCACUUGCCUAGAAUGCAUGAGAUCCUGAGUUCAAUCCCUGGCACUG
rnacentral:tRNA from 1 species